ACGGCUCAGUAACACGUGGAUAACCUGCCCUUGGGUCCGGCAUAACCCCGGGAAACUGGGGAUAAUUCCGGAUAACGCACAUAUGCUGGAAUGCUUUAUGCGUAAAAUGGAUUCGUCUGCCCAAGGAUGGGUCUGCGGCCUAUCAGGUAGUAGUGGGUGUAAUGUACCUACUAGCCAACAACGGGUACGGGUUGUGAGAGCAAGAGCCCGGAGAUGGACUCUGAGACAUGAAUCCAGGCCCUACGGGGCGCAGCAGGCGCGAAAACUUUACAAUGCGGGAAACCGUGAUAAGGGGACACCGAGUGCCAGCAUCAUAUGCUGGCUGUCCGGGUGUGUAAAAUACACCUGUUAGCAAGGGCCGGGCAAGACCGGUGCCAGCCGCCGCGGUAACACCGGCGGCCCGAGUGGUGAUCGUGAUUAUUGGGUCUAAAGGGUCCGUAGCCGGUUUGGUCAGUCCUCCGGGAAAUCUGAUAGCUCAACUAUUAGGCUUUCGGGGGAUACUGCCAGGCUUGGAACCGGGAGAGGUAAGAGGUACUACAGGGGUAGGAGUGAAAUCUUGUAAUCCCUGUGGGACCACCUGUGGCGAAGGCGUCUUACCAGAACGGGUUCGACGGUGAGGGACGAAAGCUGGGGGCACGAACCGGAUUAGAUACCCGGGUAGUCCCAGCCGUAAACGAUGCUCGCUAGGUGUCAGGCAUGGCGCGACCGUGUCUGGUGCCGCAGGGAAGCCGUGAAGCGAGCCACCUGGGAAGUACGGCCGCAAGGCUGAAACUUAAAGGAAUUGGCGGGGGAGCAC
rnacentral:rRNA from 1 species